rnacentral:lncRNA from 1 species
CAUAUAUAAUAUCGUACCAAAUAACCAUGGAAAUCAUAUCACAAUAUCAUAUAGAAUACACAAAUCUGAAAAUCAUCACCAAACAAGUACCCAGGGGAAUAAUCUCGUCAUAUCCGAACCUCAACGGACAGGCAAUGACGUACUAUCUGGGUACCGUCACGCCCCGGAGCUACACAGAUAGACAGGGAAAUACCAUCUCAUAUCUCAUCAUAUCUAUGCAUGCAUAAUCUAGUCCCCAAAGGACAAAAGUGCCCAAGCACACGGCCCAAAGCCUCUGUGUGUACUCAGACGGGCCCCAAAGGCCUGUAUCUCAUUUGUAUCAUCUGUAU